GCAGACACCAUCCAGUGCUUGUCCUGCGUUCUGCCCUCCACCUCCGUUGCCACAACUGUUGCCAUUCCCUAGUGCCCCUCCACCCCCCAUGCCCACAGCACCAGAGCUGCUACCACCUCCACCUGUACUUCCCCUGCCCUCUGCCGAACAGCCAGUCAAACCAGACGGCUGUCCUCCCUCCUCUAUCAAAUUGCCUCCACUACCACCACUACCUGACAGGUAGGAACUGUCCCGGUCAGGCAUGGCGCUGGGCCCAGCUCCAGGAGAAAACCGCACUCAUGUGUGUGACGGAUUCUGACGUGACCUGGUGAAUGUUCAGGGAUAUAUCAAGGGAAGUAACUUCAAGGGUCUAUAUCUUCAGAGUUCUGCAAACAAUGAAAAAUGGAGACAUGUCAGGACGAUGAGAUAAGAACGGCACAUUAAAUGAGUUAGUUAAAUGUCCAUGUUGACCCACAAAGUCACACAAUAUCAAACCUAGCUACUACAACACUAACGUGUUUUCAUUAUAAACCACGUAGCAAUGAUUCACAUAAAAGGUUAAACAUACUAACUGUCGUAGUUUCAGUCAAUACGACAAUUAAUAGCAAGACGAGCGGCGUUUGUUUACAAGCUAGCUGACGAUAGAAGCACAUGCUAACGGCUAACACGGCUAUAUUUCUUUCUAAAGACAAGCAUCCACGGGAACAACAAAAUAAGUUCAUAUCAGCCGGCUACACACUACACACGGACAAACAUGAGCGCGCACCUUCCAAACGGUUAUUGUUUUCAUACAUAUUCGAGGGCCCAGGAGCUGCUGUUCACGCACGUCCCUUCAUCCAUCUUCCACCACCAACGAAGAAGCCCAGCAGUUUUACCGCCAUCUAGCGCUAGAAAGGGGGAACCGCAAAAACAUCAUAUUAAACGCUUCAAUUGUAUUUUUUAUUAGGUAUACUUUGUCUUAUACAAUUCAUCUGAAGACACUGUGUUUUCUUUGCAAGUGGAUAGACUAAUAAGGAGUUUAUAAACACGUUGUUAAAAGCAGACGGAAGUGCAUUUAAUUUAAAUUCGACUGUCAGGUGGCGUCGAAGCUUUGUCUGCUCCUGAUGUUCUGCGGGUCAGUGUCUUGGGCUCGUUCUGCAGCCAGCAGAAGCUACUACGACAGCCUCCAUGUUGAACCGACGGCCACAGCCAGAGAGAUAAAACAGGCGUUUCGGAAACUGGCCAUCAAGUACCAUCCAGAUAAGAACAAGAGCGUUGGAGCCGAGAAGAAAUUCUUAGAAAUUGCAGAAGCCCACAGAGUGCUGUCCAACCCAAAGAUGAAGAGGCUUUAUGAUACUUCGGGUCAGAAGAAUUUCCAGUCCUCGGCUGAACCCGAUGACUCCACUUUCCUCUACACCUUUUCUGACAUUUUCAGAGAGACAGAGCAGCAUGUACAUGAGCCCGAGUUUUACUGGCGUGAUCAUCAUUAUAAUGAUGAAAGCUACGAUGAAGAAUUCAGCUUUCAUUUUUAAGAGAGACGGGGAAAAUGAGUGACAAAUGUCUAUGUAUCUCCUCUUCACUAUGGUCAAAUGCUUUUAUGU